GAGGAAGAACAAGAAGGAUAUCAGCGGUAACCCCAGGGCCCUUCGAAGAUUGAGGACAGCAUGUGAGAGGGCAAAGCGAACUCUCUCCUCCACUGCUCAAACCACUAUUGAGAUUGACUCCCUGUUUGAGGGGAUUGACUUCUACUCAACCAUCACUCGUGCUAGAUUUGAGGAACUCAACAUGGAUCUUUUCAGGAAGUGCAUG
rnacentral:misc_RNA from 1 species